rnacentral:tRNA from 1 species
CCUCUCGUGGCGUAGGGGUAACGCGCCCUAUCUAGAGAACAGGGAGUCAUGAGUUCGAUUCCCACCGAGAAGA